GAUGAACGCUGGCUGCGUGCCUAAUACAUGCAAGUCGAGCGAACGGACGAGAACCUUGCUUCUCUGAUGUUAGCGGCGGACGGGUGAGUAACACGUGGAUAACCUACCUAUAAGACUGGGAUAACUUCGGGAAACCGGAGCUAAUACCGGAUAAUAUUUUGAACCGCAUGGUUCAAAAGUGAAAGACGGUCUUGCUGUCACUUAUAGAUGGAUCCGCGCUGCAUUAGCUAGUUGGUAAGGUAACGGCUUACCAAGGCAACGAUGCAUAGCCGACCUGAGAGGGUGAUCGGCCACACUGGAACUGAGACACGGUCCAGACUCCUACGGGAGGCAGCAGUAGGGAAUCUUCCGCAAUGGGCGAAAGCCUGACGGAGCAACGCCGCGUGAGUGAUGAAGGUCUUCGGAUCGUAAAACUCUGUUAUUAGGGAAGAACAUAUGUGUAAGUAACUGUGCACAUCUUGACGGUACCUAAUCAGAAAGCCACGGCUAACUACGUGCCAGCAGCCGCGGUAAUACGUAGGUGGCAAGCGUUAUCCGGAAUUAUUGGGCGUAAAGCGCGCGUAGGCGGUUUUUUAAGUCUGAUGUGAAAGCCCACGGCUCAACCGUGGAGGGUCAUUGGAAACUGGAAAACUUGAGUGCAGAAGAGGAAAGUGGAAUUCCAUGUGUAGCGGUGAAAUGCGCAGAGAUAUGGAGGAACACCAGUGGCGAAGGCGACUUUCUGGUCUGUAACUGACGCUGAUGUGCGAAAGCGUGGGGAUCAAACAGGAUUAGAUACCCUGGUAGUCCACGCCGUAAACGAUGAGUGCUAAGUGUUAGGGGGUUUCCGCCCCUUAGUGCUGCAGCUAACGCAUUAAGCACUCCGCCUGGGGAGUACGACCGCAAGGUUGAAACUCAAAGGAAUUGACGGGGACCCGCACAAGCGGUGGAGCAUGUGGUUUAAUUCGAAGCAACGCGAAGAACCUUACCAAAUCUUGACAUCCUCUGACAACUCUAGAGAUAGAGCCUUCCCCUUCGGGGGACAAAGUGACAGGUGGUGCAUGGUUGUCGUCAGCUCGUGUCGUGAGAUGUUGGGUUAAGUCCCGCAACGAGCGCAACCCUUAAGCUUAGUUGCCAUCAUUAAGUUGGGCACUCUAAGUUGACUGCCGGUGACAAACCGGAGGAAGGUGGGGAUGACGUCAAAUCAUCAUGCCCCUUAUGAUUUGGGCUACACACGUGCUACAAUGGACAAUACAAAGGGCAGCGAAACCGCGAGGUCAAGCAAAUCCCAUAAAGUUGUUCUCAGUUCGGAUUGUAGUCUGCAACUCGACUACAUGAAGCUGGAAUCGCUAGUAAUCGUAGAUCAGCAUGCUACGGUGAAUACGUUCCCGGGUCU
rnacentral:rRNA from 1 species